CACCCGCAGCUCGAGUGGUAGUCACUUUUAUUGAGCCUAAAGCGUUCGUAGCCGGUUUUGUAAAUCCUCAGACAAAUUCUCCUGCUUAACGGGAGAUACUCUGGAGAGACUGCGAAACUAGGGACCGGGUGAGGUUGAAGGUACUUCUGGGGUAGGGGUAAAAUCCUGUAAUCCUGGAAGGACGACCAGUGGCGAAGGCGUUCAACUAGAACGGAUCCGACGGUGAGGAACGAGGGCUAGGGGAGCAAACCGGAUUAGAAACCCCGGUAGUCC
rnacentral:rRNA from 1 species